GCAAGAACCACACCACAAUCCAGAGGAUACUGAAGAGCAGCGCAUAGCAACACAACAUAGUAGAGUCUCGACGAAGACCUGCAGGGGAAGUUCAAGUGUCCACCACGCUGCACCCAUUGCGGACAGCAUCUCAAGAUCUGCUGCAUCUGUGGCACACUCAGUGGGUGCAUUGUGGUUAACAGCAGGAAGAAAUGGGAGGACCUUGCUCCACAGGACCAGCAAGAUGCAAGUCGCUGUGUCCAGCCAGCACCUGUCUUGAAAAUGAAUGUCUCUUGCUUGGUAAGAGGUAAAAGAAAGUGGAGCGCCAUGUCACUGUGGAAAGGCAGACAAAUAAGCCCACCUUUGGGGAGCUAGAAGAGCUGUUGGAGCUCUCUUCUGCCAUAUAAAUAUCACCCUUGGAACGGAAACUGGGAGGGCAAGUUUGCCUGUCCUGAUUACAUACUGUUUUAUGACAACUUUAACAAGGUAACUUGAGAUAUCCAAGUGAAGCAGAUGAAACGGUUUUAUACCCUGACUGGCUUAAUAAGUAAACCGACUACAUAAGAGAGCGAAGAACGCUGUGGUUUUGACUCAUCCACCCGUAUGCUGUUUACGAUGCCAGGUGCUGGGCUAUUACUGUACUGUCUUUCCCAGGGGAGAGAAGGAAGCACUUCGCCAGCCCUAUGGUCAGUGGCUGUCGGGUGCUUGGGAAUCCCACGCGAGGGAUUUUGACAGAUGGGCAGGAUAACCCGGCUGUCAAUCAUGUGACUAUCAAUAAUAGUGUCAUGUGACUGACAGAUGGGCAGCCCCGCCCAACUGUCAAGUUCGGACCCAUGAGGCUGAUCCUAAUAAGGAUCUGGCCUAUGGAACAAAAAAUGCCCCCCACACCUGCCUUAGUUGGAUGAUACAGGUUCCUGAAUGAUGCAUUAUUUGUUCAUGUCGUAGAAAACACCCACCUAAAUUGGCUUAUAUGAAUUAAAUAUACCCCUGUUAAUGCAUUUAGUGUUUGACAGGAAUUUCAUCUACACCAUUCUCUGAGUAAGUCUUUAACAUCCCUUCAUGAAAUAUUGUUCUCAUUUAUUCCUGCCUAAUGAAGUGGUUCACUUAAGUUUCAGUAGUUUUAAUGAAUUAUUUACUAUGUUCUGAUCCAGUCCCUUCUUUAAUCAAAUAGGCGCUUAUUUGAGAUUCUGCUGCUUAAUCUGAGGUAUUCUUUUGAGAAUACUUCUCUAGCCUUCAAUGAACUGUUGUAAUCCACUAAGUUCCUGUCUUUAAUGAACUUAGGCAAUUAAUGAAGUCUUUUAAUAGUCCUUGUUAAAUCGUUUAAAAAUGUUCUUCAGUGAACUAAUUCUUUUUGUAUUUUGUAAGGGGAUAUAUUUUCUGGGGGGGGGGGAA